rnacentral:rRNA from 1 species
CAGCCGCCGCGGUAAUACGAAGGGUGCAAGCGUUAAUCGGAAUUACUGGGCGUAAAGCGUGCGUAGGCGGUUCGUUAAGUCUGUUGUGAAAUCCCCGGGCUCAACCUGGGAAUGGCAAUGGAUACUGGCAAGCUAGAGUGUGUCAGAGGAUGGUGGAAUUCCCGGUGUAGCGGUGAAAUGCGUAGAGAUGGGGAGGAACAUCAGUGGCGAAGGCAGCCCCCUGGGCCAAUACUGACGCUCAUGCACGAAAGCGUGGGGAGCAAACAGGAUUAGAUACCCCAGUAGUCCCUGUCUCUUAUAC